CAAGCGGUGGAGCAUGUGGUUCAAUUCGACGCAACGCGAAAAACCUUACCUGGGCUCGAACGGCUAGUCAACGAUCGUGAAAACACGGUUACUCCGCAAGGGGGUCUAGUCGAGGUGCUGCAUGGCUGUCGUCAGCUCGUGUCGUGAGAUGUUGGGUUAAGUCCCGCAACGAGCGCAACCCUUGUCCUGUGUUGCCAUGCCGAAAGGCGGAACUCGCAGGAGACCGCCAGCGAUAAGCUGGAGGAAGGUGGGGAUGACGUCAAGUCCUCAUGGCCUUUAUGUCCAGGGCUACACACGUGCUACAAUGGCCGGUACAAUGCGCCGCUAAGUCGCAAGACGGAGCCAAUCGCAAAAAACCGGUCUCAGUUCGGAUUGCAGGCUGCAACUCGCCUGCAUGAAGCUGGAAUCGCUAGUAAUGGCAGAUCAGAACGCUGCCGUGAAUACGUUCCCGGGCCUUGUACACACC
rnacentral:rRNA from 1 species